rnacentral:tmRNA from 1 species
GGGGCUGAUUCUGGAUUCAACCCAAGGUGCAUGCCGAGGGGCGGUUGGCCUCGUAAAAAGCCGCAAAAAAUAGUCGCAAACGACGAAAACUACGCUUUAGCAGCUUAAUAACCUGCUUAGAGCCCUCUCUCCCUAGCCUCCGCUCUUAGGACGGGGAUCAAGAGAGGUCAAACCCAAAAGAGAUCGCGUGGAAGCCCUGCCUGGGGUUGAAGCGUUAAAACUUAAUCAGGCUAGUUUGUUAGUGGCGUGUCCGUCCGCAGCUGGCAAGCGAAUGUAAAGACUGACUAAGCAUGUAGUACCGAGGAUGUAGGAAUUUCGGACGCGGGUUCAACUCCCGCCAGCUCCACCA